rnacentral:rRNA from 1 species
AUUGAACGCUGGCGGCAGGCUUAACACAUGCAAGUCGAGCGGAGAUGAGGUGCUUGCACCUUAUCUUAGCGGCGGACGGGUGAGUAAUGCUUAGGAAUCUGCCUAUUAGUGGGGGACAACAUUCCGAAAGGAAUGCUAAUACCGCAUACGUCCUACGGGAGAAAGCAGGGGAUCUUCGGACCUUGCGCUAAUAGAUGAGCCUAAGUCGGAUUAGCUAGAUGCAUUGGUGGGGUAAAGGCCUACCAAGGCGACGAUCUGUAGCGGGUCUGGGAGGAUGGUCAGCCACACUGGGACUGAGACACGGCCCAGACUCCUACGAGAAGCAGCAGUGAGGAAUAUUGGACAAUGGGGGGAACCCUGAUCCAGCCAUGCCGCGUGUGUGAAGAAGGCCUUAUGGUUGUAAAGCACUUUAAGCGAGGAGGAGGCUACUGAGACUAAUACUCUUGGAUAGUGGACGUUACUCGCAGAAUAAGCACCGGCUAACUCUGUGCCAGCAGCCGCGGUAAUAC